ensembl:rRNA 5S_rRNA 5S ribosomal RNA
UCUUGGGGCCAGGGGGUCUGCCUGCAUGGAGCUCAUUGCAGGAUCAGGGCCAAAGCACAACUCAGUCAGUACUAGGAUGGGAGACCCCCAAGGAACACUUACGUGCUGCAGGAA